UAACCUCACUGUAAAUCAGAAUAACAUAAACUGAUUUAUAAAACUAUUUUAAUCAUGGUUACAGGACCUAAAAGCAAUUAUCUGUUGAAGAACACUGGACAGAUAAAUGACCCAAGACUAAGAACGAGAAGUUGAGGUUAAUGAUGCAAAAGUUUAAGUGAAGGAUAUACUCGUAAUAACAAAGAAGCUUUGGGUAAAGGUUGCAAAUGUUCCAAUAAUACAGUUGGGCCGACAUUGGAAAUGGGCUACGGACCAGGCUAAAUAACAC
rnacentral:lncRNA from 1 species